AGCAGCACAGCAUCAGAUGCUGCCUUGCCAUACCAGGCCUGCCAGGCAGUCUGAGGAUUAAAGGGAUGUGGUAAGUAGAUGGGGACCCUGUGUGGACUGUGGGCCUGGGUAGGGAUUGCUCAGGUCACAGGACAGCCUGGCCCGAAGCUCCUCCUCAAGCCUGCCUGGGAUGGGAAGAAAAGCCCCAUUUUCUGCCUCUGGGAAUCAGGCUGACAUGUGCCCUGUGUGACAUGUGUCUCCUGUGACAUACAUCAACAAUUAUAACAUGUGCCCCACAUGACAUGCAUCAGUAAUCAGUGGAGAAUUUAGACAGGGCAUGUGACCAAAGGCCAGGAACAGGAUCCCCGAUGACGGUGACUCCAUUUGACCAAGCCGAGGGACUGGGAAACAGCUUGUGACCCCAUGGUCAUGGAGAAUUUUCUGUAGGUUCCUUUUGAGUGGUUCCUAACUCCUAAUUUCAACUGUGGUAAGGCUGCAUUUGAAUGGGGGAGUCCCUUCUGCUGCCAAAAUGAGUAUGCAAGCUGCUGAGGGCCCCUUGGACACUGGCUUUAACAGGAAGAUGCCCUCUACCUCCCUGAGGGCCUGGCUACAGCUUACCUCUUGUCCCCAGAGGAUGCCAACCAGCCUGGCAGGCUGAAGGCCAGGGUUGGGAGGGAUGAGGCUAGCACCUGCCUACCGGCAGAUGACAGGGAAGGAGUGUGUGGUGUCACUGAAGUGCAGCCUUGGGAGUAAGAGGUCACCCUAGAUUAGGAGGGAGGCUGGAGUUGGAGACGUCUGGGGUCAGGGAGGACUGAUGCCAGACAAGAGCCUGUUAUUCUCACUGAGCAGUCUUAGAGGAAGCUAGACCUCAGUCUUGGUCAGUUGAGCCUGGAGGUAUGGAAGGCAGCCACAAGGUUCCUAUCCUGAAGGGAAGCCAGGCAUACUCAAGGUGGGUCUUCCCCUUGGGGAGGAACCUGUCACUCUGGAAAGCUGGGGACUUCAGGGAUGGGGAACUUAAUGCAGUGAACUUGUGUGAUGCUGAUGUCCUUUCCAGGGAACAGGGUAGACUGUCAUUAAAAAAGGCCCUUUGAUUAAGAACCCCAGUGUCCCAUUCCAGGGACACUGCUGCCACUCCUUUCCCAGGAGACCCAGCUGUCUGUAACCGGUCAUUCCCCUGGCCACCCGGCCCCUGAUCACAUGAGCAGCAGGCUGGUGACAAUCUGCAGGACCAUGCUAGAGGCACUUUAAACCACAGUGGGGCUCAGGAUUCCUAGCCAAGACUAGGCCAGGAGAGCUGGUGAGGAAAGGAUGCCAGACUCACAAGGUAUCUUGCCCUGGAAGGCCUGAUGCAGGGCAUGCAAGGAGCUGCACUGCUCUCUCUUGCCAGGAACAUUUGGACAAGGUAAGAGAUAGCAUGCCCAGUCCAGAUCACUCAGAACCACUGAACCUCAUAAGAAUACACAUAAUAAACCAGGCGUGGUGACACAUGUAAUCCCCACACUUAGGAGGUGGAGGCAAGAGGACUGGAAGUUCAAGAUCAUCAUCCUCAUCUACAUAGCAAGUUCCAGGCCAGCUUGGACUACGACAAAGGAGCUGGGAAGGCAGAUGGGAAGGACCUCAGCCUGGCCUGCUGGUGCUAUGGCCUGGAGUAAAGGAUAUCACAUCUGAACUCAUCUUCUGGUCUACCAUCUGUGGGCACCUGCUUGCCAGCUCUGUAAUAACUGAGUGAAGACACUGAGCAGCAGCGGCUGGCAACUGACUGGAACAUACUGAACUUUCAGCAACUGACGGUCUGGAGUCUCUGAGUGCCUCAAGAGUGGGCCCCAUUGUGCAGGCUGGGCCCAGCCUAGAGCGUCUCAAAUGACCCAAGCACCUAGGGAACAGCCACCUGAUCUGAGGGCUCCGUGGAAGAAGAGUUUGGAAAUGGCUGAGGUAUUGGACUGCACCUGUCAGGAGUCAGACAGACUUGAGCUUGAAUUCCAGCUAACUGACGUGCUAUGUGACUCUGGACAUGGUCUAGAGGCCUGAAGGCUCUCUAAGAGGAACCAAAGACAACUUGAGGGAUGCUGGAAAGACGGCUCAGUGGUUAAGGACAUCUACUGCUCUUCCAGAGUUCCUGAGUUCAGUUCCCAGCACCCACAUCAGGAGGCUCAUUACUGCCUAUAACACCAGCUCCAGCGGAUCCAGUGCCCCCAUGGGUACCUUCACGUGCACAUAUACAUAA